GCGUGCGCAGGCGGUGAUGUAAGACAGUUGUGAAAUCCCCGGGCUCAACCUGGGAACUGCAUCUGUGACUGCAUUGCUGGAGUACGGCAGAGGGGGAUGGAAUUCCGCGUGUAGCAGUGAAAUGCGUAGAUAUGCGGAGGAACACCGAUGGCGAAGGCAAUCCCCUGGGCCUGUACUGACGCUCAUGCACGAAAGCGUGGGGAGCAAACAGGAUUAGAUACCCUNGUAGUC
rnacentral:rRNA from 1 species